rnacentral:rRNA from 1 species
UGGGGAAUAUUGCACAAUGGGCGAAAGCCUGAUGCAGCAACGCCGCGUGAGUGAUGAAGGUCUUCGGAUUGUAAAGCUCUGUCUUUUGGGACGAUAAUGACGGUACCAAAGGAGGAAGCCACGGCUAACUACGUGCCAGCAGCCGCGGUAAUACGUAGGUGGCGAGCGUUGUCCGGAUUUACUGGGCGUAAAGGGUGCGUAGGCGGAUGUUUAAGUGAGAUG